AUAUAACAAAACGGGUGUAUAUAUAUAUAAAUAUAGUGGCAACCUCGCUCAACUAAAAAGCACAUACAAAAUUCUUCCUUUUACUUCAAUUAUUAUUCUCUCCGUGGAGCAAAAUUAUCAUGUAGGCAACUCUUGCUCUUGGAGGACACUCACCCCUCUUCCUAUAUAUAAAGGGUAAUAUCCUUUCUUUAUUUUUGCUUUAUGCGAUUUUUUUCUUUUUUUGCAUUUGAUUAUUCUGCUUCGUUCUUCUCAUCGAUCUAAAUACUGCCACUUUUUUAUUUCAUUUCUUAAUAUAUGUUAUUUUCUAUGUUUCAUUUAAAAUAUAUAAUAGCACACUACUUGUAUAAGACAAUAAGACAUAUUCUUCUUAUAUGUGGUCCUUGUACAAAGCAGAAAUUAAGCUGAGAGAGCUUGAGAUAGAAGUAGCAACGUGCGACUGAGAAUUUGCUUAGCUUGUUGACCAAACCAAAUUAGCUUUCAUCAGCUAUAUCCCCCAACUCCCACCUUCAAGCUCACCGUCGCGCAAACCCUCUUCAGUGGAAUCGUCGACGGUCGCUGCCGUCAACGGUAGUCAACGCCGCCGGAACGCCAGCCAGCGAUCCUCGCGAGUUGCUCCUCGCAGUCGCCCCAGCGCCGCCGCCCCCUGUAUGUCGCCGUCGGCCUCCCUUUGAAGACGCAUCCAUCCGCGGUGGAAGUCUCCCUGCAUCGUCGAAGCACUAGCAAGCGCCGCUGCUGUUCGCCCUGCACAGCCAUUGCCAGCGACACUCCCAACCUCGCCUCCGAGACGCGUCCCGCAGGGUGUCCCUCCUCCGCCGCCGUCGUCGCGUUCAUAGGUUAGUGGUAAUUCAUGAUUGUGAUAAACAGAGAUUGUUCCUGCUUUAUCUUAGGUGCAUGUCACAGGGUUUCACUUUCAUACAAGAUUUUUGAUUUUGUGAAUGCUAAUUUUAUGUAAUUUUAGGAGAAUUGAUAUAUGAGCACCCACAACUUCUGAAUCAAGAUUAUGCUUCAUUAAUCUACCUUGAAAAGAAGUGGAUCUGCAAAUAGAAAGUAGUUAUAUUCACGACACCAACUUAAUAAGUUACACAGUAAACAUAUUUUUAUAUAUAUAUUUUUUAAUUUCCUUCUUUAGGUGAAGGAUAAACAAGUUAAUUUGUGCGUGUAAUGAUAUAUGGAUCUUAAGGACACACAAACCUAGAUGUAUGUAGAUGUCUAUGAAGGAUUGAUGUAUAACGAACAAUAAAAAUAACUAUAACUAAUUUUUAAACUUUUCCAUCAAGAUGAUUUUUAGAUCAAUUGUGUGCCUGCUAUAGUUCAUAAGGAUGUGAAGAGCAAUAACAUAUUGCUUGAUCAUGAGUUUAGGCCUCAUGAUGCGGAUUUUGGGCUUAAUAAGAUCUUGCAGCGUGAGGCUGGCGAGGGAGGUGCUGGUGCUGGUGCUGGUGACAUGUCCAAGGUUGCUGGAUCAUAUGGUUACAUUGCCUCGGGGGCAAAGUAAGAACUUGUAAAUGAUUGAUCACAUGGUGCUUGACAUAAAUUCCUAAGAGAAGCUUGUUCCAAUUUUUUGGGAGAUGCAUAGACGAAGAAGAAACAAAAAAUUGUGCAGUAUAGAGAAUUCUUUGAUAGGACUCUUGUCUCACUUGAUCUUACAAAUGAUGAGAUGCUCAAAAAAUUUGUUGAAAGCCAACUUAUGUUCUUUGAAACGAGAAGUAGAAUGUCAUAACAUUCCCUUGUGUCCUUUGAAUUCAUUUAGGUAGAAAUGGUACUAGUUUGGUAGAGCCAUUAUUUUUAGUUAAAUUAUUCUAUUAUAAUUUUUUAAGAUGUUUUGUUUGAUUAAUUAGCAUAUAAGGAGAAGUUGUUAAAAAUGAAGACAAUCAUUUAUGUAUUUUUUGUAUUAAUUUAAUUUUUUUUUUAAAAA